rnacentral:lncRNA from 1 species
GGCCUGAGAAUUUGUGUUUCUAAUAUUCCCAGGUGAUACUGACACCAUUGGUUUGGGGACCACACUUUGAAAUCAGAGAAUCUCCCCAGCUGUAGGGAGUGCUGCUGAUCGACAGUGCACAGCUGAGCCCCUCACCAGGAACGGCCCUUAGCUGAAGAGAGCCACCGCGCCCAAGGUCGUGCACCCAUCCCAGGUGGCAGCCUGCAUCCGUGACGGCAAGACCCAGGGUUUCACAACUGGCGCCCAUGCUGUGCCCACUGACACGCCCUGUUCACUGGAGUCCUCCCUCACCAUGUGCCAGCAGCUGCUGCAGCCCUGUUUGGUGGUGAAACCACCUGAUUUCUCCUGCAACUGCAGUUUCCAGCAUUCUGACAGUCUUCCAUCUCAAGUAGCUUGUCUCUCUUCUCUGCCUGAGGCUUUCUUAGGCAGUGGAAGCUUGCUCUGCCUGAGCCAGGUGCAACCCGGAAGUGCAGGAUAGUAAAGAUCAUUGGCGCUGACCUUCAACCAAUGGGGAUGGAAUAAAUAUCACAGACUUCUCCUCCGAUGGGAUGAUUCUGAGGCAUGGUCCACAUGGUUUAUCAGAGAGUCUCCUGCAAGACUGAGUCCCAGCUGCCCACAGGAUAACUUGCUCGUUAACAUACUUGUUAGUAGCUUUUCUCCCUUCUUUGUCUCACUUUCCCCAUUUUCUUCUUGUGCUCCUGAGAUCACCUCCUAAAUAAACC